rnacentral:rRNA from 1 species
UGAUAGUACCUUACUACUUGGAUAACCGUGGUAAUUCUAGAGCUAAUACAUGCUAAAAGCCCCAACUUCGGGAGGGGUGUAUUUAUUAGAUAAAAAACCAAUGCCCUUCGGGGCUCUUUGGUGAUUCAUGAUAACUUCUCAGAUCGCAUGGCCUUGCGUCGGCGACGGUUCAUUCAAAUUUCUGCCCUAUCAACUUUCGAUGGUAAGGUAUUGGCUUACCAUGGUUUCUACGGGUAACGGGGAAUUAGGGUUCGAUUCCGGAGAGCGAGCCUGAGAGACGGCUAGCACAUCCAAGGAAGGCAGCAGGCGCGCAAAUUACACAAUUCCAAUUCGGAGAUGUAGUGACAAUAAAUACUGAUACAGGGCUCUUUUGGGUCUUGUAAUUGGAAUGAGUACAAUUUAAACCUCUUAACGAGGAACAAUUGGAGGGCAAGUCUGGUGCCAGCAGCCGCGGUAAUUCCAGCUCCAAUAGCGUAUAUUAAAGUUGUUGCAGUUAAAAAGCUCGUAGUUGAACCUUUGGCCUGGCUGGCAGGUCCGCCUCACCGCGUGCACUUGUCCGGCCGGGCCUUUUCUUCUGGAGAACCGCAUGCCCUUUACUGGGUGUGUUGGGGACCAGGACUUUUACUUUGAAAAAAUUAGAGUGUUCAAAGCAGGCCUUUGCUCGAAUACGUUAGCAUGGAAUAAUAGAAUAGGACGUGCGGUCCUAUUUUGUUGGUUUCUAGGACCGCCGUAAUGAUUAAUAGGGACAGUCGGGGGCAUCAGUAUUCAAUUGUCAGAGGUGAAAUUCUUGGAUUUAUUGAAGACUAACUACUGCGAAAGCAUUUGCCAAGGAUGUUUUCAUUAAUCAGUGAACGAAAGUUAGGGGAUCGAAGACGAUCAGAUACCGUCGUAGUCUUAACCAUAAACUAUGCCGACUAGGGAUCGG